rnacentral:rRNA from 1 species
AGUCCUAUAACGAGCGCAACCCCUAUGCUUAGUUGCCAGCACGUAAUGGUGGGAACUCUAAGCAGACUGCCUGCGAAAGCAGUGAGGAAGGAGGGGACGAGGUCAAGUCAUCAUGGCUCUUACGCCUAGGGCUACACACGUGUUACAAUGGCGUGUACAACGGGUCGCUACCUGGUAACAGGAUGCCAAUCCCUUAAAACACGUCUCAGUUCGGAUUGAGGUCUGCAACUCGACCUCAUGAAGCUGGAAUCGCUAGUAAUCGCGUAUCAGAAUGACGCGGUGAAUACGUUCUCGGACCUU